rnacentral:rRNA from 1 species
UCUACGGGUGGCAGCAGUGGGGAAUAUUGCGCAAUGGGCGAAAGCCUGACCCAGCUACGCCGCGUGAGUGAAGAAGGUCUUCGGAUCGUAAACCUCUGUCAGCAGGGAAGACCGGACACCGUGCUAAUUAGCAGUGAAUUGACGGUACCUCCAAAGGAAGCACAGGCUAACUCAGUGCUAGCAGCCGCGGUAAUGCGGAGGGGGCGAGCGUUAAGCGGAAUUACGGGGCGUAAAGCGCUCGUAGGCGGUAUGUCAAGUCACGGGUGAAAUCCCCGCGCUCAGCGUGGGAACUGCCUUUGAAACUGGCGAACUUGAGUGUGGGAGAGGAUGGUGGAAGUCCAGGUGUAGCAGUGGAAUCCGUAGAUAUCUGGAGGAACAUCAGUGGCGAAGGCGACUAUCUGGCACAUAACUGACGCUGAGGAGCGAAAGCGUGGGGAGCAAACAGGAUUAGAUACCCGAGUAGUC